ACCCGCAAUCCGCUAUAGCGGGGUUGAACUCCUGCUCGAGGUCUGGUGAUCUAAGGUUUGGCCAUCGUAAGCGGCGUUGAUAGCCGGGCCCUGCAGAACGGCUGGGCUGCAAACCCCGUCAGGGCCGGAAGGAAGCAGCGGUAAGCAGUUUCACCCGUGUGCUGCACGGUCUCCUGGCUGGAGCAGGCUGCGAGAGGUAUCACUUGGAGCAUCUUAUCGACAGCAGGUGCACGA
rnacentral:SRP_RNA from 1 species